CCGUAUUCGUUCUUUUUAUUUCGUGAAAUAUCGGAUAUAUCAAAAUCGUGAGCUAGAAACCAAAAUUCAUCAGGCAAAAGAGCAGAUAAAAAUUUUGGACCAAACUUGCACACUGAUUCGCGGAACAAUAGAACAAAAAAAGCUUAAUGAUGAUGAGAAUAGAGCAGAGUUGAGGUGGCAGUUGUUUGAUUUAGCUCGUGAAGAAGACAGAUACAAGAAUGUCAUAAAUGAGAAAAGGACUAAAAAAACUACAAACAGCAGGCUGAUAUUGGGGAACUCCGGGCCAGAUUCGAUACAAGCCGGGAGAAGGGUGAUGAUAGAUGCUCAUCGGAGAGAGAGCUUAAUCACCGUGUCCUUAGGUUGCAUUUUCGGACACGAUGUGCAAAAAACACGUUCACUGAGGAGAAACAGCUUCUUAAAAAGAUUAAACAGCUUGAAGAGACUAGACAGGAAAUUGUUGUCAGUGAUGCCUUGAAACAGAAACGUUUUAAUGAUUCAAUGGAGUGGGUUAACCGCCCAAUCUAUCCUGACCGGUAUAGUUGUAAUUCUUUCCCGUAAACAA